rnacentral:lncRNA from 1 species
UCAUGUCCACCUUCAAAUUCGGUGUGAAUUUCCUCAAGCUUUUUAUUAUACUCUGUAUUGCUUGACUGCAUCCAACAUAAUGUUGUUUUAGAUCAAGUUUGUAUAAGAUAUUACUCCUUUCAAAUUUUACAAUUAAAGCUUAGAUGGUGGGAGCACGAAAACUGGAAUAAGUAGUAAUAACAUUAACUACAGUUCAAAAUUAAGCCUGGUGCUUGACCGCAUUAUAUCAACUACAAUCACAUUUCAUGAAUGAGACUCAAUCAAUUGGCUAUGGUAAAGUAAAGUACCCUUUCUGCUAAUAUAUAGCAUAGUACAACUUUGAAGCUUCUUGUACUUUAUUAGUGAAAGAUCACUUCUGGCAGACUGCAAGAACACAAAUGAGAUGAGAUGACCCUCAUUGAUCACGAAAAUGCACAUGUCAUCUGCUGCCUCCCUCCCUCCCUCCCUCCUUACCC